UGUGGACACCGUGGGAGGUUGG
rnacentral:miRNA from 1 species